rnacentral:rRNA from 1 species
AAUCAAGUGGAGGACAAGUCUGGUGCCAGCACCCGCGGUAAUUCCAGCUCCACUAGCGUAUAUUAAAGUUGUUGCAGUUAAAAAGCUCGUAGUUGAACCUCUGUCUGGGGCUAGUUUUGGCUUUGGUCAGGCUAGUUCUAGGCAUCCGCCUACAAGACUUAGAGGGCAUUCAGUUGUUCACUAGGAGGAGUAGGCAUUUUACUUUGAAAAAAUUAGAGUGUUUAAGGCAGGCAAUCGCCCGCAUAUAUUAGCAUGGAAUAAUAGAAUAGGACACUUUUCCAUUUCGUUGGUUAUUGGAAUCGUGUAAUGAUUAAUAGGGACAGUUGUGGGCAUUUGUAUUUAAUUGUCAGAGGUGAAAUUCUUGGAUUUAUUAAAGACAAACUAACGCGAAAGCAUUUGCCAAGGAUGUUUUCAUUAAUCAAGAACGAAAGUUAGGGGAUCAAAGACGAUCAGAUACCGUCCUAGUCUUAACUAUAAACUAUUCCGACUCAAUGUUUGACUGGCUUAUAUAACCAGUUGAGCGUUGUAUGAGAAAUCAAAGUCUUUAGGUUCUGGGGGGAGUAUGGUUGCAAAGCUGAAACUUAAAGGAAUUGACGGAAGAGCACAACCAGGAGUGGAUUCUGCGGCUUAAUUUGACUCAACACGGGGAAACUUACCAGGUUAAAACAAUAGUGGGAUUGACAGUUUGAGAGCGCUUUCUUGAUUGGUUGGGUGGUGGUGCAUGGCCGUUCUUAGUUGGUGGAGUGAUUUGUCUGCUUAAUUGCGUUAACGAACGAGACCUUAACCUGCUUACUAGACUGGCGAUCAUCAAUCGUUAGCUCUUCUUAGAGGGACUUUGGUUGUUUUAACUCCAAGGAAGUUUGAGGCAAUAACAGGUCUGUGAUGCCCUUAGAUAUCCUGGGCCGCACGCGUCAUACAAUGACUAGUUCAGAAAGUUUUCUCCUGACCCGAAAGGGGAUGGGUAAUCUUGAUAAUACUAGUCGUGUUAGGGAUCGAUCUUUGCAAUUAUAGAUCUUGAACGAGGAAUUCCUAGUAAGUGCGGUUCAUCAGACCGUACUGAUUACGUCCCUGCUCUUUGUACACACCGCCCGUCGCUUCUACCGAGUGGGUGGUCCGGUGAGAUAAUUGAACUUCGCAGGUAACUGAGAGGAAGGAUUAUCAAACCUAUCCACCUCGAGGAAGAAGAAGUCGUAACAAGG